UGCCAGCAGCCGCGGUAAUACGGAGGAUCCAAGCGUUAUCCGGAAUCAUUGGGUUUAAAGGGUCCGUAGGUGGAUAAUUAAGUCAGAGGUGAAAUCCUGCAGCUCAACUGUAGAAUUGCCUUUGAUACUGGUUAUCUUGAGUCAUUAUGAAGUAAUUAGAAUGUGUAGUGUAGCGGUGAAAUGCAUAGAUAUUACACAGAAUACCAAUUGCGAAGGCAGGUUACUAAUAAUGUACUGACACUGAGGGACGAAAGCGUGGGGAGCGAACAGGAUUAGAUA
rnacentral:rRNA from 1 species